rnacentral:rRNA from 1 species
UAUAGGUUUGGUCCCAGCCUUCCUGUUAACUUUCAAUAGACUUAUACAUGCAAGCAUCCACGCCCCGGUGAGUAACGCCCUUCGAAUCACACAGGACUAAAAGGAGCAGGUAUCAAGCACACACUCUUGUAGCUCACAACGCCUUGCUUAACCACACCCCCACGGGAGACAGCAGUAACAAAAAUUAAGCCAUAAACGAAAGUUUGACUAAGCCAUAUUGACCAGGGUUGGUAAAUCUCGUGCCAGCCACCGCGGUCAUACGAUUGACCCAAGCUAACAGGAGUACGGCGUAAAGCGUGUUAAAGCAUCAUACUAAAUAGAGUUAAAUUUUAAUUAAACUGUAAAAAGCCAUAAUUAUAACAAAAAUAAAUGACGAAAGUAACCCUACAAUAGCUGAUACACCAUAGCUAAGACCCAAACUGGGAUUAGAUACCCCACUAUGCUGAGCCCUAAACACAAAUAAUUAU